AUGUGAGAGGAGGUGGAUGGAAGUGCCAUUAACAGGAAUAGUGUGAGAUUUAUGGUAAAUGAAUGUGGGCCUAUUUGAGGAGCUGUGUCAUUUCCUGCAUACAGUUCAUGGUGAAAAGCAAAGAACAUAGGAUUGGGAUGUGCAGAGAUGCUCCCAGAGAUGUUUGUUACAAUUGUCGACCAUGAAAUCAGAAUGCCUAUGUCUGUCGCAAGGGAACUCAAACUAUAUACAUAAUCAACCACCACGACUGUUGUGAAGGAAAACAAGCAAAUUAAGGAUUUUGAAAUCUUUGACAUUAUUUGAAUCCUGUGAUGAAGAAAUGAGAUGGGCCCAUUGAGGAAAUGAAUGUAGGCUAAUAUGCUCCCUGAGUUAAAUUGUUAUCAUUGGAUCGCCAAGUGUGAAGGCAGAAAUAGUGACAUCUGUUGCAAGGGAACUGAAGCUUUCACUAUCGACGAUCUCAACCAUUGUGAAGGAUAAGAAACAAAAUAAUGAUUGCAAGAUCUCUAGCAUCACUUAAUGCAAGAUCUUUGGCACCACUUAAAUCCAAAUUUAUCAUGAAGAAUUCAAGUGUUGGACAGACAGAGGAAAUGGACCUAGGCUAAUGUAAUGAACUCAAAGAGAACAAGGUAUCAAAACAAAGGAAAAAUUAUGACUUCUCAGAAAAAGAGAGCAGUUACGGUAAAUAGGAAUGAAAACUGGAGAAUGUAAAAGAACAUCAGGAUAUUUACCAUGAGCAGAAUGUAAAUGGAGUUGCAGAGCCUCCAAAGAUGGAAACCCAUCCCUAGAGCAAUAUAAGCAAGCCAGUUUUCCACCAACAAGAGAGAGUAGAGGAUUUGAAAGAGGCCUUGGGGAGGGAAGAGACGAGGGUGGUCGAGGUGAUGGAGUAGAAGCUACUGAUGAUGCUCCUCCAAUAGAUGAUGCCCCUGACCCACCUCCACGAGAAGCAGGUCUUUCUAGGGAGGACGACUGCAGGUCAUCAGCAUGAUAACGAGACACAUGACGCUGAAAAGAAAAAAUUCACGGUCACCUUAAGAGCCAUUGUUAGUGCAAGCUUGAGUGGCGGUUGAGGUUUUGGGGGCAAGCAAGAGGAUAGCCAUUAUUCACAUUUCAUCACUAUCACUUGAGGUGCUGUGAAGAGAAGAUGUCUUGCAGUGCUUGUCUUCCCUGUUGCUGAA